rnacentral:misc_RNA from 1 species
GUGGGUGGGCGAAUGGCCCCUAGAAUGGAAUGACCGUGUCGGCACGUGAGCGGUGAUGGAUUCGCAUGCCACGGCGGGCUCCCUGCCACUGCGCAGCCAACCGCCGUCGCGGCAGCCCUUUCACUCGUGCUCCAACCNCUCGGAGCCUCCCGAGUUGCCUGUACGACAUACCCGGUUCUCGGGCAAAUGACUUCGUCCGACACGCUCUUCCGCUCCCCCCGCCUUCGUGCGGGCANGGAGCGGCAACGUCGGCGGUCCUGGUGCUCCCUCGGACGACGGCACGGCUUCGGCCCCUCGUCUCGUCUCGAUCGGCCCUCGAGGAUUCGCCAGCUCUCGCGGACACGGUAGACAAUGUUGGAUCGGGGCC